rnacentral:rRNA from 1 species
GAUGAACGCUGGCGGCGUGCUUAACACAUGCAAGUCGAACGAUGAAGCCCAGCUUGCUGGGUGGAUUAGUGGCGAACGGGUGAGUAACACGUGAGUAACCUGCCCUUAACUCUGGGAUAAGCCUGGGAAACUGGGUCUAAUACCGGAUAGGAGCGUCCACCGCAUGGUGGGUGUUGGAAAGAUUUAUCGGUUUUGGAUGGACUCGCGGCCUAUCAGCUUGUUGGUGAGGUAAUGGCUCACCAAGGCGACGACGGGUAGCCGGCCUGAGAGGGUGACCGGCCACACUGGGACUGAGACACGGCCCAGACUCCUACGGGAGGCAGCAGUGGGGAAUAUUGCACAAUGGGCGCAAGCCUGAUGCAGCGACGCCGCGUGAGGGAUGACGGCCUUCGGGUUGUAAACCUCUUUCAGUAGGGAAGAAGCGAAAGUGACGGUACCUGCAGAAGAAGUACCGGCUAACUACGUG